GCUGAAAGCAUCUAAGCGGGAAGCCUACCUCAAGAUAAGAUUUCCCUAGGACUUUAUGUCCUCUAAAGAGCCGUUCGAGACUAGGACGUUGAUAGGUUGGAUGUGGAAGCAUAGUGAUCCAUGAAGCUGACCAAUACUAAUUGCUCGUGAGGCUUGACUAUACAACACCCAAGCAGUUG
rnacentral:rRNA from 1 species